rnacentral:lncRNA from 1 species
GUUCAUCUUGAGCAAUGCAUGUGCAAAAUAUCUUUUCUGGAUGCAUCAAGUGAAUUUAAUUUAGGAUAAAAAAAUUGAGAGGAACCAGGUUUCUAUUAUAGGACUGUGGUUUGUGGUGGUAGCUGGUGGUCCCCACUAGGUCGAAAUAGUUUCCGUACAACCCCUAGAUGAGGAAGAUGCAGGAAGCCUUCUAGGAAGUACCAACUCUUCUUUUUCUCCUUCUUUCCCUGAUCAAACACCCAGGGCCACGAGGUGUGGCCAGCUUCCGGAGGUCCAACAUAGCUUCUUUGUGGAGCAUGUGGAAGUGCAGAGAUAAAGGGAGUAUGUCUUCAUGCUGUAUUGCCUAAAAGGACCUAAGAAGAAACAUUCAUGCAACUGAAGGUUUUUCUGUCUGUAUGAUUUUUUUAGAAUUGCAGAUGUAAUAUACACGUAUCAUAAUUUCAAACAAGACAAUUAGAUGAAAUGUAAGCAAGGGUAAAGGAUGGGCAGUGACUCUGGGAGUCAGAUGAACCCGACACCAUUUCUGUCCAGGUCAGGGAGAUGUCUCUUUGUGCACGUGUGGGAGGUGCUGUACCUGAGUUGUUCAAAGUGCUGGGGGACAGUGGAUGAACUCUGAGACCGAGAUCUGGGUGUGCGCACUACCAUAGACAUUUAAACCACACGCUGCCUCUUCACACUGUGC